UGUCUGGCUCACAGCUGNCNCGCUCGUUUACAGCCUAAUACAUGCAAGUCGAGCGAAUGAUUGAGAGCUUGCUCUCAAGAAGUUAGCGGCGGACGGGUGAGUAACACGUGGGUAACCUGCCCAUAAGACUGGGAUAACUCCGGGAAACCGGGGCUAAUACCGGAUAAUAUUUUGAACUGCAUGGUUCGAAAUUGAAAGGCGGCUUCGGCUGUCACUUAUGGAUGGACCCGCGUCGCAUUAGCUAGUUGGUGAGGUAACGGCUCACCAAGGCAACGAUGCGUAGCCGACCUGAGAGGGUGAUCGUGCCACACUGGGACUGAGACACGGCCAGACUCCUACGGGAGGCAGCAGUAGGGAAUCUUUCCGCAAAUGGACGAAAGUCUGACGGAGCAAACGCCGCGUUGAGUGAUGAAAGGCUUUCGGGUCGUAAAAACUCUGUUGGUUAGGAGGAACAGAACAAGGUGCUAAGUUUUGGAAUUAAGCUGGGCACCUUGGACNGGUACCCUAAACCCAGAAAGGCCCCACGGGCUUACUAACGGUGCCCA
rnacentral:rRNA from 1 species